UACGUAGGGGGCUAGCGUUGUCCGGAAUCAUUGGGCGUAAAGCGCGCGUAGGCGGCCCGGUAAGUCCGCUCUGAAAGUCCAGGGCUCAACCCUGGAAAGCGGGUGGAUACUGCCGGGCUAGAAUCCGGAAGAGGCGAGUGGAAUUCCUGGUGUAGCGGUGAAAUGCGUAGAGAUGUGGAGGAACACCGAUGGCGAAGGCAGCCUUCUGGGCCAACACUGACGCUCAUGCACGAAAGCGUGGGGAGCAAACAGG
rnacentral:rRNA from 1 species